rnacentral:sRNA from 20 species
UAACAGUCGCGGCGCGUACCUCCGAGUACGGAAGGGGUUAGUAAACCUUUGGCUAAGCCGGAAGGGAUAUUUGGAUGGCCGCAGUCCUACUCCCUUCCGGUUUUGCAGA